rnacentral:rRNA from 1 species
AGAGUUUGAUCCUGGCUCAGGAUGAACGCUGGCGGCGUGCUUAACACAUGCAAGUCGAACGAACCUUCGGGUUAGUGGCGGACGGGUGAGUAACGCGUGAGAAUCUGCCCUCAGGAGGGGGAUAACAGUUGGAAACGACUGCUAAUACCCCAUAUGCCGAGAGGUGAAAUGAAUUUCGCCUGGGGAUGAGCUCGCGUCUGAUUAGCUUGUUGGUGGGGUAAUAGCCUACCAAGGCUUCGAUCAGUAGCUGGUCUGAGAGGACGAUCAGCCACACUGGGACUGAGACACGGCCCAGACUCCUACGGGAGGCAGCAGUGGGGAAUUUUCCGCAAUGGGCGAAAGCCUGACGGAGCAACGCCGCGUGAGGGAUGGAGGCCUUUGGGCUGUAAACCUCUUUUCUCAAGGAAGAAGAUCUGACGGUACUUGAGGAAUAAGCCACGGCUAAUUCCGUGCCAGCAGCCGCGGUAAUACGGGAGUGGCAAGCGUUAUCCGGAAUUAUUGGGCGUAAAGCGUCCGCAGGCGGCCGUUUAAGUCUGUUGUUAAAUCGUGGAGCUCAACUCCAUCACGGCAAUGGAAACUGUUCGGCUUGAGUAUGGUAGGGGCAGAGGGAAUUUCCGGUGUAGCGGUGAAAUGCGUAGAUAUCGGGAAGAACACCAGUGGCGAAAGCGCUCUGCUGGGCCAUUACUGACGCUCAUGGACGAAAGCCAGGGGAGCGAAAGGGAUUAGAUACCCCUGUAGUCCUGGCCGUAAACGAUGAACACUAGAUGUUGGGGGAAUCGACCCCCUCGGUGUCGUAGCUAACGCGUUAAGUGUUCCGACUGGGGAGUACGCACGCAAGUGUGAAGCUCAAAGGAAUUGACGGGGGCCCGCACAAGCGGUGGAGUAUGUGGUUUAAUUCGAUGCAACGCGAAGAACCUUACCAAGGCUUGACAUCCUGCGAAUCUCUAAGAAAUUAGAGAGUGCCUUCGGGAACGCAGUGACAGGUGGUGCAUGGCUGUCGUCAGCUCGUGUCGUGAGAUGUUGGGUUAAGUCCCGCAACGAGCGCAACCCACGUUUUUAGUUGCCAGCAUUCAGUUGGGCACUCUAGAAAGACUGCCGGUGACAAACCGGAGGAAGGUGUGGACGACGUCAAGUCAUCAUGCCCCUUACGCCUUGGGCUACACACGUACUACAAUGCUGCGGACAAAGAGUAGCGAUCUUGCGAAAGUUAGCUAAUCUCAUAAACCGUGGCUCAGUUCAGAUCGUAGGCUGCAACUCGCCUACGUGAAGGAGGAAUCGCUAGUAAUCGCAGGUCAGCAUACUGCGGUGAAUACGUUCCCGGGCCUUGUACACACCGCCCGUCACACCAUGGAAGUUGGCCAUGCCCGAAGUCGUUACUCUAACCUUUUGGAAGAGGGCGCCGAAGGCAGGGCUAAUGACUGGGGUGAAGUCGUAACAAGGUAACC